ACCCCCGGUAUUAUUGAUGUUAUGGGUUGCGACCGAGCUUAGCCUUGUUCAUUUUUUUACACAACACCCCCGUAAAAAAUAAAAUACGGCUUUCAUGUUCCAGCUCUUCAACGACUAAAGCAGCCCUUGUCGACGCCCUCAAUUGCAGCAAAAUUGCCGCUAUGGUGCCUUUUUAGGGCAU
rnacentral:sRNA from 1 species